GCCCCAGUGGCCUAAUGGUUAAGGCUCUGGCCUCUGAAGCCAGGGAUAGUGGGUUCAAGUCCUGACUGGGGUG